ACGGAAGGCAGCAGUGGGGAAUAUUGCACAAUGGGGGAAACCCUGAUGCAGCGACGCCGCGUGAGUGAAGAAGUAUUUCGGUAUGUAAAGCUCUAUCAGCAGGGAAGAUAAUGACGGUACCUGACUAAGAAGCCCCGGCUAACUACGUGCCAGCAGCCGCGGUAAUACGUAGGGGGCAAGCGUUAUCCGGAUUUACUGGGUGUAGAGGGUGCGUAGGUGGUAUGGCAAGUCAGAAGUGAAAACCCGGGGCUCAACCCCGUGGAUUGCUUUUGAAACUGUCAAACUAGAGUACAGGAGAGGCAAGUGGAAUUCCUAGUGUAGCGGUGAAAUGCGUAGAUAUUAGGAGGAACGCCAGUGGCGAAGGCGGCUUGCUGGACUGCUACUGACACUGAGGCACGAAAGCGUGGGGAGCAAACAGGAUUAGAUACCCUGGUA
rnacentral:rRNA from 1 species